AUUGAACGCUGGCGGCAGGCCUAACACAUGCAAGUCGAGCGGUAGAGAGAAGCUUGCUUCUCUUGAGAGCGGCGGACGGGUGAGUAAUGCCUAGGAAUCUGCCUGGUAGUGGGGGAUAACGUUCGGAAACGGACGCUAAUACCGCAUACGUCCUACGGGAGAAAGCAGGUGACCUUCGGGCCUUGCGCUAUCAGAUGAGCCUAGGUCGGAUUAGCUAGUUGGUGGGGUGAUGGCUUACCAAGGCGACGAUCCGUAACUGGUCGGAGAGGAUGAUAGGUCACACGGGAACGGGGACACGGACAAUACGCCUAAGGGAGGCAGCAGUGGGGAAUAUUGGACAAUGGGCGAAAGUCUGAUCCAGUCAGGCCGCGUGUGUGAAGAAGGUCCUCGGAGUGGAAAGCACGUUAAGUUGGGAGGAAGGGCAGUAAAUUAAUACUUUGCUGUUGUGACGUUACCGACAGAAUAAGCACCGGCUAACUCUGUG
rnacentral:rRNA from 1 species